AUAAUGGGCCAAGGUGGCAGGUAAGGAUGCUGAUGUACCUAGGCUUCUAGAAGGCAUGUUCUCAGCUACUGCUGCAAAAAUCAGGGCAUCGAUGUGUCCAUCAGGAGACACCUGGUACAGUGGGAAAAACAAAGAACCUGGAGACUAAAACCCCCAGGCUUCCAUCCCAGCUGAAGGUCUGUGGCCACAUUACUUGAUGUCUCUGAACUUCACUCUCUUCCAGGGCUGUUUUGAGAAUUUAAAAAAAGGAGAAUCUAUUACAAGCAAAACAUGAAUCCCCAAAUCUGAAAUUUAGGACCACACUUCAUGGAGAUCGAGCCUGCAUUGUUCUUCUCAACACCAGCCAAGCCAAAACCACGAGAAAAGUUCUCAUCCAUGAUUUCUCCUCGCUUUCUCUGCCUCCGGACUAACGCCACUCCUUUCACCUAAGGCUCUGACGGUGUGCUGUGCCCCUUCCUCCUGGACACUGCACAGCACUGGGUUCUGAGGGAUGCCUUGCUAAAUGAGCUGGGCAGCAUGCUGGUCUUCAGAGACAUAGAGACGAAGGAUGCUGAAGUACCCGUGUGGGAGGACUUCACAGUCUCUUAUGGGCUCUUUGCUACAAGCCACUCCGGAGAAUGUGAGCAAUGAAAGACACGUGCUCCUGGGUUGUCUUCUUGCUUUUGAAAAGCUUCCAAUCUAGCUUGAAAGACAAAGCAGAGACAUGGGAAAAGAUUAAUACAGCAUGGGAUGUAAUAACAUGAGGACAGCCAUGAGCUGCCUUUCUGCACCUACUUCAUAUGGAUCGUGGUGAAGUUCAAACGAUCGAGAGAGAGAGCAUGAGGGGAGUGGGG